rnacentral:rRNA from 1 species
GUCCACGCCGUAACGUUGGCACUAGGUGUGGAUCUAUCGACGGUUUCCGUGCCGAAGCUAACGCAUUAAGUGCCCGCCUGGGAGUACGGCCGCAAGGCUAAACUCAAAGGAAUUGACGGGCCCGCACAAGCGGCGGAGCAUGUGGCUUAAUUCGAUGCAACGCGAAGAACCUUACCAAGGCUUGACAUUCUGGGUAAUCCGUGGAAACACGGUGAUCCUUCGGGAUCCAGAACAGGUGUGCAUGGCUGUCGU